CGAAAUGCGAUAAGUAAUGUGAAUUGCAGAAUUCAGUGAAUCAUCGUAUCUUUGAACGCACCUUGCGCUCCUUGGUAUUCCUUGGAGCAUGCCUGUUUGAGUAUCAUGAAAUCUUCAAAGUAAAUCUUUUGUUAACUCAAUUGGUUUCUACUUUGGUAUUGGAGGUCUUUGCAGCUUCACACCUGCUCCUCUUUGUUCAUUAGCUGGAUCUCAGUGUUAUGCUUGGUUCCACUCGGCGUGAUAAGUUAUCUAUCGCUGAGGACACUGUAAAAGGUGGCCAAGGUAAAUGCAGAUGAACCGCUUCUAAUAGUCCAUUGACUUGGACAAUACUUUUAUGAUCUGAUCUCAAAUCAGGUAGGACUACCCGCUGAACUUAAGC
rnacentral:misc_RNA from 1 species